rnacentral:lncRNA from 1 species
CUCACUCUAGGGCAAUAUAUCAGAGCAAUUUUGAUAGCUUACGGAUCACUUAAUUGGUUUACAUACCAACAUUUUUGAACCAGAAGGCGCGGAAGUCACGAUGGCCCGGUGGUGGGUGUCUUGUGCACGCUACAGCCUGGGGGCGCAAAACAGUUGAAAGUGUGAGUGGACCAAAAAUAAAGGUUCAUAAAAUAUCUAAGAAUAUACUAACCCCCGGUGUAAAAAUAAGGAAAUAAAUCCAAACACGUAUUCUACAUUUAAAGCAUACUAAACUCAAGGCAUUAUAUGUAAAUCAUAUUCGAACUCGAUACUUCUCGCAUAAAAACAAUGAAAUCAAAUACAGUUGAGUAAAACUGAAUAUCUAAACUAUCUUGGAAACAUAUGAAAGCCAACGCAGUUACAUAUUUAUAGAAAUAUAUGCAAUCGCUUUCAAGAGCAAUAAAACUUGCAUGAAAGCACUGAAAUCCAAUUUGCAUAAAAGUGCUGAAAUCAAACCUGCAAUAAAGCAAUGUACUCAAAACUUGAAUUAAAGCACUGCAAUUAAUCAAAACUACCACUCGGAUGUACCCCUGUAAUUCCGUCAAUUCCCCUGGCAGGUCUCGGCGACACACAGUCUAUCCGAGCCGCAAAUCCUGGCAGAUACAGGGACUAUAGUCAGCCUGAUCCGCAAUCCUGGCAGUCUCGGGGACACGAAGUCAGCCGAGCCGCAAAUUCUGGCAGUCUCGGGACUGCCGAGCCGCAAUCUUGCAGGUCUCGGGGACACGAAGUCAGCCGCGUCGCAAUCCUGGCAGGUCUCGGGACAUCAAGUCUGCCGAGCCGCAAAUUCUGGCACUCACGGUCCGAGCGUCCCCGAAACUCGUGAGGCAAUGUCAAGUGCACUGACAGAACUGUAAAUAGACUGGAUGUCCGUAGACAUCGGUCCAUCUGAGGGUAAUCACCAUCGCUGGGUACACACGGUGGUUAAAAAUAAAUAUUUUAGAAAAAUCUGAUAAAUCACUGUAUUUGGCAAGUCUGAAACUAAGCUGCUAUUUUCUCUGAUAUAAAUCUCAACUCUGCUUUCUGUCACUUUCUACCAUGUUCAACUAAAUAGCAUAGAAAUAAAGAUAUUUGACGGCACAAAUCAUGCUCGGAAAACAUUCGGUAAAACUUAUUCAAAAUCAAAUAAUGAAAUUUACUCAUAUAAACUCAUUUAUAAAAACUUAUUUAUAUAAAAUCAAUAUAAAAUCAUUUAUGUAAACUCAUUUAUAUAAAGCAUUUAUAUAACUCAUUUAUAUAAAAUCAUUUAUGAAAGAAAGUCCACUCACUCCUGGUCCAAGCUCGCUAGACCUCCUGACGGUCUCUCCUGCGGGCCUGUCUGGUCCCGGGUGCCUGGGUAAACCAUCAUGAAUGUUUGAUUAAUAAAACUGCUCGGUAUAACUUUUUAAGUAAAACUCUGACCUCCGACUUCUAGAAGUGCGUGCACUAACUUUAAAGUCAUUUUCUUGCCCACUUAGGUAUUUCAGGUAUUUACAAUCGUCUGAAAAGACUCAAGACUUCAUUAAGCGAUAAACUUCCACCUUGGUCGAGACGGAACCCCGUGGGGUCCACGACCUCCAAUGACCAAUCUGAGAGUUCCUUUAAGUUCCUCACGUUUAAGGAACCAUAUCCUGCAAGUUUGGUCUGAAACUGACGAUUGGAUUGACCACGAUCGUGAAAUCAUAAAAUUUCCAAACCCUAGCCCCAGGGUUCGCGAUUUCGGAGUAUCCGGGACUCCGAUUCACGAUCCGUCGAAUCCUACACGAUUCUGAAAUUAUCUGGAACAACAUAUCCGAAAUUGAGCGCGAUCCAACGGUUCGGUAAUAUUGAACCCGGGAAUCGCACAAUAUGGAAAAUCCGUUCGGGGCUCAAACGGAAUCCAAAUUGAGAUCCGCGAAAUCCUAUGCACUCGUGACAACAUAAGGAUCGCAACAAGACACAGUGCCACUGCACUACCCUCACCCACGAGCCCCAGCACGCGCCGGCAGCGAUGGGUGUCUGAAGCGAUUUCGGCUCGCCGGAAAAACUUCAAAUCACGGCUCCAAACUCCUACCCUAGGUAAAACACCAUAUUUGGAGCCACUUUUGUUCUUAGACCUACCCCAAAACGUGGCCGGAAGUGGCCGCAAACGGAGGCCGAAAAUCGGCUGAAACUUCAAUCUCAAAAAUCCGAUGGCUACGCUAUUAAUCGAUCUAAUCCUACCCAACAGGCAGCUAGAACAGCUCGAGAGGUUCAAGAUCCAUACCUGGGGCGACAGAAAUGGUGGCCGGAAGAGGGAGAUCGGCGGCCUUAAAGUUUCGGUGAGUUCCCGUCGCUUUUCUGCAGUUUCCGGCCAGCACAGGCCGUACAGCCAGCCGGGAAUGGUCGGAAAAGGUAGGGGACUCGACGGCGGUUCCAUCGCCACCGGUCCCGUGGCCGGUGGUGCCCUGAGGCGGCGCCAGCAAGCUCUGGAAGGCGGCGGGCAGUUUUUGCGCGAGAGGAGAGAGCUGGCUGGUUUUUAUAGAUUCAACUUCGAAAUAUUUACGGUUAUGCCACUGAGACUCUUUUGACCAUAACUUUCUCGUUACAACUCCGAUUCAGGCCCAUUACGUGUCUACGAACUCGUUUCACCGUGCUCUACGUAAUGGCCCAAAUGGAAUUGUCACCUUUUUCUUAAUAAAAUAUUAUGAGGGCAAAAUUGUCUUUUCGCAAAAUAAAAUAUUCCUUAAUUAUGAAUUUUUGGUUUGGGAUAUUACAAUCUCUCACUCUCACUCACUCUCUCAUCUCUCUUUUCACUAUCUCUCACUCUCACUCACUCUCUCAUCUCUCUAUCACUAUCUUCUCUAAUUCUCUCACACUCACUUCUCC